CUUUAAUUGACCACUCCAAAACAGAUGUUUUUGCUGAGGAGGGUUCAAGUGUUACAUUGUCCUAUCCACAAUAUUAAUCUAAUGAAAAAAAUGAUCAAAACAUGAAACAAAUAUUCUAAAGUCUAAGAUUCUAAAGUAAGUCAAAAGGCCAGGUUUUUUUCAGUAUGCAAAUUUGUGUGGCAUUAUGAAACGUGAAUUGUAGUAAAUCCAAACAAUACAGUCCUUUAAUUGACCACUCACUUUAUAAUAUUCUACCAUUCAGAAAAUAAAAUACUUUAUUUGCAUGAAUGUGUAUGAGAUUGCAGAAUUUCAGUUAUGCCAUACUUGCAGUGAACCAGAAGAGGGCAGUAGGUGUUCAAUAUUUCACUUGAGAAUACAGCUUUUAUAUUUCUCCACAAGCUCCUCCUUGGAUCGUCACCAUAGUACCAGAAGCAAGACUCUUAUAUUUACUGAUUUUUCUUCAACAUAGACAGUCAUGUCACACAGGUUGAGGAAUAUAUUUCUCUUCACAUUAUUCAUUCUUGAUUGCAGAUCAGAGGACAAAGUUGAUCAGCCAGAUGAACAUAUGACUGAAGCUGAAGGAAGAUCAGUAACAUUACAGUUGUCUGAAUUGAGCUAUAACAUGAGGGAGGAGGGACUCAAUCAUUGAAUCAAUUCAGUCUGACUCUUCUCAGAGUGAACACUUGUACAAUGGAUCUUCAUUCAGUUAUUCUGCUCUGUGUCUCAGCUGCUGCUGUCUUUGGAAAUGUCAUCAAACCAGAACAGCUUGAUGUUUUUUCUGAGGAGGGUUCAAGUGUUACAUUAUCCUGUAGUUAUUCUGCUUCUGGACGUACAGAUUAUCUCCACUGGUACCGUCAGUAUGGAAGAUCAAAACCUGAAUUUCUUGUACUCACCUACAGCAAUGCAAAAGAAGCUCAGCAGUCUGAUGUAGAUCCAAGAUUCUCUGUUAACAUUUCGAAAAGUCAAUAUGUGGAUCUGGAGAUAUCUUCUGCUGCUGUAUCAGACUCUGCUCUGUACUACUGUGCUCUGGUGCCCACAGUGACAGGAAACACAUCAGCUCUCUACAAAAACCUGUUACAGUAAGAGACAAGAGAGAAACACAGAGACAGAGAUGAAUGAAAAUUGUGUGCAAUGUGAAAGGUAUUCAUUACAUUAAAUUACAGUUACACUAUGAAGCUGCUCUUUAAUACCUGUAAUUCAGAAAGCUGUUAAACAAUAAAACAUCUCAAAUGAUUCUCACGUGCAAUAAAUAGUGCAGGUUCAUGUAUGCCACAGGAGGGCAGUGCUCACAUACUUUCACAUGGAGUUACUGCUGUUUCAAAUCCUAUAUAAUAAGAGAAAACAACAUUAUGUUAUAUAUUUUUAUUA
rnacentral:lncRNA from 1 species